UGCUCAUGUUGCCUAGCGGUUAGAGCAUCUGCCUCGGAUGCAGGAGGUUGUGGGUUCGAUCCCCGGUCAAGUCAU